GAUGAACGCUAGCUACAGGCUUAACACAUGCAAGUCGAGGGGUAACAAGAGAAAAGCUUGCUUUUCUUGUUGACGACCGGCGCACGGGUGAGUAACGCGUAUCCAACCUGCCUAUAACUAGGGAAUAACCUUGCGAAAGUAAGACUAAUACCCUAUGAUUUCCUUUGAUGACAUCAGAUUAGGAAUAAAGAUUUAUCGGUUAUAGAUGGGGAUGCGUCUGAUUAGCUUGUUGGCGGGGUAACGGCCCACCAAGGCAACGAUCAGUAGGGGUUCGGAGAGAAGGUACCCCCACAUGGGACCUGAGACACGGUCCAAACUCCAGCGGGGGGAAGCAGUGGGGAAUAUUGGUCAAUGGGCGGAAGCCUGAACCAGCCAAGUAGCGUGCAGGAGGACGGCCCUAUGGUUUGAAAACUGCUUUUAUACAGAAAUAAAGUUAGCCACGUGUGGUUAUUUGUAGGUACUGUAUGAAUAAGGACCGGCUAAUUCCGUGCCAGCCGCCGCGGUAA
rnacentral:rRNA from 1 species